rnacentral:RNase_P_RNA from 1 species
UGAGUAAGCCAGAUGAUCGCGCAUAUGAUCCGUGAGGGCAUAUGUGAGGAAAGUCCGGGCUCCACAGGGCAGGGUGCCGGGUAACUCCCGGUGAAGGCGACUUCAAGGAAAGUGCAACAGAAAGAUACCGCCAUUCAGAGACCGGAGGCCAGAGACCAGAGGCCAGAAACCGGAGGCCAUAAGCAGGAGACCGGAGAAAGCAAGGUUUUUAUAUGGCUUCCUGUAAUGGGAAGAUGGACAGAACUUCUAUAUAUGGUUAGUGGCAUUUUAUAAAAUUCUUUUAUUGAAAAACUUCUGGUAUCUGGCAUCUGGUUUCCGGCCUCUGAAUGGUAAGGGUGGAAAGGUGAGGUAAGAGCUCACCAGCGGCAUGGCGACUUGCCGGUCUCUGCAAACCCCACCUGGAGCAACACCUCAAAUUGGGACGUUACGGUGGCCCGCCAGUCCCCGAGGUGGCUUGAGCCAUGCAGAAAUGUAUGGCCUAGAUAGAUGAUCAUCUAAUACAGAACCCGGCUUACAGGCAUACUCAUACA